rnacentral:rRNA from 2 species
CGACCCCAGGUCAGGCGGGAUUCAC